GCAUGAGCCACCGCGCCCGGCGCACAGCUUGUUUCUGUAAUAUUUCAUUGUAUAUAGGAUAUGUCAGAUAUUUAUUUAUACAAAUUGAUGUGUUGUUAAUACUAGCUGAGAUCUUAGAGUAGAAUUAGGGGGCUUAAAUCUGGGUCUUCGUCCUGGUCUAAAAUAAAUUAAUUGUGAUCUUGGACAGGUUAUGGAACCUUCUUUGGCCUGAAAAUAAUUUUAUAAUCAAGUUGAAUUGCCUGUGUGAUUUGUAUCUGUCUUUAGUGUAAAUUAAUAAUUGAGAUUUUAAAAUGGGAUGUUUAGGACUAGGCAUAUUUAUUUGUUAGGAAAAAGCCAACUAAAAGCUUACAUUUGGAUAAAUUCCACUUUUUUAGCCCUGACUAGUUCCAAGGUUUAAAACAAACCUCAAGAACUAUGAAUCUAUUGUCAGAAUUUCCUGGCAGAAGAGAGCAGUCUUUAUUUUUAUUAGUAAAUUAUGUGAAUUAGUUUGAGAUUACCUAUAGAAAAAAUAGAAUAACACUACCAUCUGCAAGCUGUUGGGACACAGUGUCGGUUUUGGCAUGAUUCGGGGUGGUCUGCACAGUGAACACCCAAGUGUGCUUUAUAGUUCCCUUGGCUUUGACCCUGUGCUAGAGCAUUGCCUGUUCUUCUCCUCUGCAUUGAAAGGAAUAUUUAUCCUUUUAAAUGUAUUCAGAAAGCCAGCACAUUAUGUUACUGCGUGUUCAAAGGACCUUCAUCCCAGAAUAAUCACUGAAGGAUUUGAAGUUGUGAAGGAAAAGGCCCUUCAGUUUUUGGAAGAAGUCAAAGCUGUAGUGGGCUCCAUUUUGGCCAUUAAAAGAAAAGAUGAACUUAUUGAUCUCUUCAUGGUUUUGUGAUCAUGGAGAUGAAACAUAAAUCUGAAACUGAUACAAGAGUGCAGAAGAGAGAGAAAAACUCAUAAAAGCUGAAAGAAAAUUCAUUGAAGAUAGAGUUAAAUAAUAGAACUGAAAAGGAAAGUCUGUGGUGAUUCCGAUAAAGGAUUUGUUAUUAAUCAAAAGGGAAUUGACCCCUUUUCCUCAGAUGCUCUUUCAAGAGAAGGCGUAGUUGCUCUGCGCAGAGCUAAAAGGAGAAAUAUGGAGAGGCUGACUCUUGCUUGGGGUGGGGUGGCCCUGAAUUCUUUUGACGACCUCAGUCCUGACUGCUUGGGACAUGCAGGACUUUUAUGUUCUUGCUCAGAAUUCUGGUUCUGACCUUCAGGAAACAUUAGUUAAAAUUUAAGCAGAACAUUCAGCAUCAGUUCAGCUCGUGGGUGUGAACUUGAACACAGGUAAGAGAAUGCAACUUUUUGUAGAGGGAAAACUAGAUGUAAUACAUGAGAGUUGAAGCCGGGAAAGAUUAAAAAUGGGGACCAGAAAAAAAUCUUUUGCUUUGCAAUUUGACACCAGUACUAUUAGGGAACUCUAGGUUCUAAAAAUGGGAUAAAAUAGGAUAUUAAUAAAAAAUGGAAUGAUUAGAUAUAAUAAGAGAGUAGACUGAGUAAUUUUGGGAUAAUUUUGUUGGAGAUGUUGAGUGGUGGUAGAUGGUUCAGAUUACUGUUGAAGGAUUUUCAUAUUGCAUUUGCCUUACUCAGUGGGUUUUUUUUGUUUGUUUGUUUGUUUUUUGUUUUUUUCUUUUUGAGACGGAGUCUUGCUGUAUCCCCCAGGCUGGAGUGCAGUGGCGCGAUCUCGGCUCACUUGCAAGUGCCACCUUCCAGGUGAGCCAGUGGUAGCAGCAGAAGUAGGCGUUACGGGAUAACGAUUGUGUCAAGAAACAGCUUCAUCACUCUUGCACUGUGAUUGCCACCAACAUUCUCUUGGUUGAUAAGAUCAUGUGAGCCUGGAAUGCCUUCUCUGAAAGGUUGAAUUGAAGCUUCCUCUCUGAGUCUUGAAGAUUCUGCAAAGUGAUCCUGAGGAAUACAGCUGUGGAGUUUCUGUCCAAGCUUCAAAUGAGUUUCAAAGGAAUUUUCCCAUAUGAGAAAAGAAGAGAACACUGGCAUCUGUUGAAAUUCGGAAGUUCUGAGAUUAUAAUUACAGUAUUUUUUUAAAAAUUGCACUGAAGUGUACAUACAUAAAGCAGGUCUUUCACCCAGUGAACAGGAUGUUUUGCUUUAGCAGCAGUAACAUAAAAUUCCACGUUAGAUAAGCAUACAUUACCUACAUUACUAAAUAUUUCUUGAAAAGCAGAUUUUAAUAGUUUAAUUUUAUGUAGACGUAUGUUAAAUUAUUCAACAGUACCCUAUUGUUAAGCAUUUGGUUUUAAAUUUUUUAUGCUAAUAUAAAGCUUAAGUAAUUUAAAAUUUUGAGAGCAUCCCUGUUAGUGUAAAUUUCUGAGUAAAUUCAUUGGAUCAGUUGGACUUUUCAUGCUUUUGAAAUAGCCUUGCUAAAAUGCUCCGCCUACAAAGUUAAGUUGUAGGAAAUGGGAAGAGGAGUAAACUAGAGGCAAGGGAGUUGAGAGAGCUGGAAGGUGUGGUGACUAAGGGCUACAGUUAUGGGGUUAAAUUUGAGAUUUGUAGGCUAACUGUAUUUUCAAGUUUCUGAACUUUUGCUUAUGCAAGAUACUCAUCCCAAAGCCUCUAGCGUCAUAUUUUUCUCACCCAAAUAACUGCGUUUUCACAAUAUUAUUUAUAUAGUUGUUGAUCUGUCUCUGCAGUCCUUGAAGGUGACGUUGAUGUUACUAGGCUGUGUGUUUUGGGGGCUCAGCAGUGGCCUGAAGUGAGUAUGCAAUAAAUGUCAAGUUGAAACUUC